rnacentral:rRNA from 1 species
AUUGAACGCUGGCGGCAGGCUUAACACAUGCAAGUCGAGUGGAGAAGAGGUGCUUGCACCUUAUCUUAGCGGCGGACGGGUGAGUAAUGCUUAGGAAUCUGCCUAUUAGUGGGGGACAACAUUCCGAAAGGAAUGCUAAUACCGCAUACGUCCUACGGGAGAAAGCAGGGGAUCUUCGGACCUUGCGCUAAUAGAUGAGCCUAAGUCGGAUUAGCUAGUUGGUGGGGUAAAGGCCUACCAAGGCGACGAUCUGUAGCGGGUCUGAGAGGAUGAGCCGCCACACUGGGACUGGGACACGGCCCAGAAUCCUACGGGAGGCAGCAGUGGGGAAUAUUGGACAAUGGGGUGAACCCUGAUCCAGCCAUGCCGCGUGUGUGAAGAAGGCCUUAUGGUUGUAAAGCACUUUAAGCGAGGAGGAGGCUACUGAGACUAAUACUCUUGGUUAGUGGACGUUACUCGCAGAAUAAGCACCGGCUAACUCUGUGCCAGCCGCCGCAGUAACAC